ACACAGAGAAACCCUGUCUCGAAAAACAAAAACAACCUUUGGCACUCACGACUUCUAAAUGUGUCCACCGUUUGGCUUUUCUGACGUUACUGUACCUCAGCUCGUCUUUCUGCUUUUGAACACUUGAACGCCAUGGUGGAGUGACGGCUGAUCAUAUCCCUGGGCAGCUGCUUCCAUCAGACCGGCCAACCCAAAAGCCCACGGGUCUUUAUCGUCGUCAUCAUCAUCAUCGCCAUCAUCAUCAUCAUCGCUAACAUAUGUAGGAGGGCCUAGGUCAUCGUGGCCUGUGGGUGACCAUCCCUAGGCAGGUGGACCUGGACUAUAUAUGAAAGCCAGAAUGGGAACCGAUACACUCACCCAGGCAGAGAGGUGGGUCAGGAUCCAGCUCACUUAAGGAAGUAACUCACACCUGGACACUCACAAAGGCCUGCGAUGAUCAGGAUUUCUUUCUCUGCAGAAGCUCAGUCAAAACUUCUCAAGGAUGGAAAGUGUAGAGUCAGGAAGGCCUGGAGAGAGAACCCUGUGUGCUGUGGACUGUGGGCAGACUCAGGGCAUCAGCUGAGCAGUGUUAAAGCAGCCACUCGUGGCAUUAAAACUGUGUCCCCGAGCCAGAACACUAUAGAGUUUUAAAGCUCACAAAGACCCGUGCCAAGCUCCAUCACAGUGCGGCAUCAGUCAGAGUCUUUUGUUCUUUCCUGGUUAGAAAUGAUCACGUUUGGGGAACAGAAGAAGAAGGAAGUUGGCGGGCUAUCUGGAAAGCUCCCCUACAGCCUGGGACCUUGAACUUAAUUUUACCUUAUGAUCAAAAUAGAGUCUGAAAACAAAAUGGCAGUACGUAGGACAAGUCUCACGUAUUUGAUCCCAAGUCCUCCAAGUACAGAGGAAGCUUCCGUGCUGUCUGGGCUGCAGAGGGAGGCUGCAAACAGCGAGCACGUGCCCCGGGAAGGGGGUGCAGGCUGCCUGGGGCUUGCUAUGCAGCCCAGAAUGAUCUUGAGCUCAGCAGUUUUUCUGUUUCCAUUACUUUUUUUUUUUUUUUAAUUUGCUGUUUCCAUUAGCAGACAAUUAACACUGAUAAAAUACCCACCAUCCAACUUCAUAACUGAGUGGAAACAGGCUGUGAUAGGUUCAGGACCACAUUAUCUAGAGGAAUUUAUGGGACCAAAAUACUUAGCUAUGAUUCUCAGUCUUACAUCCCCUUCUAUCUAGGGGUGGGGGUGGGUGUGGGUGAAGAAAAAGAGUGAAAACAACAAGCUAACAUUAUAGAGGAUUUACCAAUAAACCUGCUUAGAAAAUACGGAGUUUUACAGAAGUAAACUUUAGCCUCAAGUGGAACUCAUAAGGCAAGCAGCACCCUACCCAGACUUCUUAGACACUGUAAAACAUAAGGAAACCAGGGUUGUACUUCUAACACAAUUAGAACUCAGAUUCACCAACAAUGUGUUCCCUUUUGAAUUUGCUCACCAUGUCUGCCCUGUCAUUAAAUUCUUUCCCUCUUACCAGGAAGAGUGAAAGUCGGCCGGGCAGUUCAAAAGGAAUGACCCCGACUACCAUCUGCCCAGAAGAACAUCUCUGGCCUAACUCAAAGAUCGCUGUGAUCUGACUUUCUGCUUUGUAAAUCUUCCCACAGACGUGCAGUAUCUGUAUCUGUGAAACCUGUUAAAUUGCUCAACGUGUAACUGGCUUGGUAAGAACCUGCAAAGCCGUCUGCAGGUAAAAGCUUAUUUAAGCUGGGCAGUGGUAUUGAACACCUUCAAUCCCGGCAAUCAGGAGGCAGGCGGAUCUCUGGGUUUCAGGCCAGCCUGGCCUACAGAACUAGUUCCAGGAUAGCCAGGGCUACACAGAGAGACCCUGUCGCCAUGCUGAUUAACUGAUUAGAGCAUCCCUGAUUGUCGAAAUGUUGCAGGACCAGAGCCUAAUUUUGCUUUAUCUUGGGCUACCUUUAGCCCUUAAAAUGGCUAUUCCUUGCCCACCUCCGUGUCUGACCCAAGGUCAUAUGAAUAACAGAUAAAACCUUUCGGGGUGCAUUAACAAAACUCUAAGUUUUCACCAAAGCCCAGAGUGUCACCAGAUAGCAGCUAAAGUCUGUAGCCGCCAUUUCUCUGAUUCACUGUGGCUGCUCACUUACUGUUUCCACAGUGUAUUGGGAAGUGCCUUGAUUUAUGGCUUUCUUUAUUCAGCUACUAUAAAAACAGCAUCGGAUAGAGCACCUCAGUUUUAUAAAUGGAAUUCUUUUUUUAAAUAUUUUAUUUAUUUAUUACAUGUAAGUACACUGUAGCUGUCUUCAGACA